rnacentral:rRNA from 1 species
UACGUAGGGUGCAAGCGUUGUCCGGAAUUAUUGGGCGUAAAGAGCUCGUAGGCGGUCUGUCGCGUCGGCUGUGAAAACUCAGGGCUUAACCCUGAGCUUGCAGUGGGUACGGGCAGACUAGAGUGCGGUAGGGGAGACUGGAAUUCCUGGUGUAGCGGUGAAAUGCGCAGAUAUCAGGAGGAACACCGGUGGCGAAGGCGGGUCUCUGGG